UACUACUAUUACUACUACCGCUGCUGAUCAUAGUACUAUGUAUAAUGAAGAAGAAAAGGGGAAAAAAAAAAGAACUAUAACAUUUAGUGAUGCUAUAAGUAUAGGAAGCAAAAUUAAAAAGUCAAUUUUCAAAUUGGGUUCAAAUAAAGAAACAGAUGCAGAACAAAAUAAAAAUGUUUCCUUUUUGAUAACUGGUUCGACAGAACAUGUGGUAGACGAAUCAAAAAAUGAUAACAAAAUAGAACCAUUGAUAUCAUGUAUGAGUACAUCUAAUAAAAGCGAUGAGAAUAAGGUAUCUGAUAAUAUAAAUUAUGAUAAUAUUAAAAACAGAAAACGUAGAAGAAACAUAGAUAUAAAUAACAACAGUAACGAAGAAGAAGAAGAAGAAGAAGAAGAAAAACCUAGUGUGAAUAACACAAAGUUUGGUAAUAAUAAUCAAUUAGAAGCUAAGAUGCCAUCUGCUUUUGCAACAGACUCGUUGAAUAUACGAAACAUACCGAAUAAUUUUGUUGAUAUUAAAAAAAACAAAACAGGUGCUAAAAAUAACAAUACGUUAGAUAAUAAUAAUAUUAGUACAGAUAGUGGUACUGUAAGUACUAUAAGGGAGGACAAUUUUUUUUUUAAAAAAAGUAAAGUUGGUAUAGCUUUGAAUAAUACGAAAGACAUACUGAAUACACUAAGUGGUGAUAAUAUUCUAAAUCAAAAAAAUAUAAAUAUGCUUUCAGAAAAUAAUACAAAUAACAGUUUCAACGAAAGUAAAUUGAUCCAGCCAAACCUUGACACAAACAAUAUACUUUCAUUUAAUAAACAAAUAACAAAUCAAACAAAUAAUGAGUUAAAUCAAAAUCAAACAAUUCUUGGAACUGGUCUUUUUAACAACGUGCUUAAUACAUAUACGAGCAGUACGGGCGAAAUUGAUAGAAAAACAGUCCUUAAUAUUAAUAAAAAUAAACAAAUAAUGGAUAAUAACAUAAAUACAACAUUAUUAACAAACCAAGGUGGUUUUAAACAGACUAAAAUAAACGAACAAGAUGAUUUUAGUAGAGAAACUUUACCAAACGGAUUAGUCAAACCAAACAUACCAUCUGAGCCAAAGGAUUUAACUAUAACAAAUCCGCAAAGCAAACCAAACGAACUAACUAAAUUAAAUCAGUCAAGUGUACAAUAUAAUUAUCCCCUUGACAGAAACAGUUAUGUAAUUAACGAAACCGAAACGAAUAUGAUAAAAAAAGAACAAAAAGUUACUGAUAAAAAAAAUAUUAACCGAAUUAUUACAUAUAAUAAAAAUAUUUUUUUUAAUAACGUAGACAUAGAUUUAGAUAAAGAUGUAAUAGAUUUGAACGAAUUAAAAAAAAAUUUACUUUUAUGUGCAUUGAAUUUUCAUUUAUCUUACUGGGCUCAGAAAGUUAUGUUGUUUUAUCCACAUAAUGAGAGUAUUAUCAAAUACUGUGAUAAAAUUAUAAAAAUAAAAAAACAAUUUGAUGAAACGUAUGAUUUUUCUUUAUUUGAAAACAUACACAUGAUAUCGAAAAAACUUUUAAAAAAAAUUGAUAAAAAUUAUUGUAUUUAUGAAAGUGUUUUAUUUUUAUCAGCUGAAAAUAUUUAUGUAUUAAAAAAUGCCAAACUAUCUUUAUUUGAUGCGUUUAAUGUAUAUCAUUUUUGGUAUCAAAAAAAUAGUUCCAAUGUAAAAAAGGAUUUUCAAAUUUUUAUGUAUACUAGCAAAAUUUAUCCUUGCUAUCUAAAUUAUUAUAUGAAUUUGUACAAGAAAUACAACACACAGGAUGACAAACAGAUGCAAAUGAAUGGCCAAUCGGCAACUGACGGCGUAUCCGAGUGUUUAGGUAAUAGAUUACUUAAAAAAAUGACAAAAAAAAAUGACAAAAAAAAAUGACAAAAAAAAAUGACAAAAAAAAUGACAAAAAAAAAAAAAAUGAACAUACGCAAAUUUACAUACAUGACCAUAAACUUACAUACAUAUACAUAAAGUUGCGUAAAUAUACAUGAACNNNNNNNNNNNNNNNNNNNNNNNNNNNNNNNNNNNNNNNNNNNNNNNNNNNNNNNNNNNNNNNNNNNNNNNNNNNNNNNNNNNNNNNNNNNNNNNNNNNNUUUUUUUUUUUUCUAUAUAUUUAACAAAAAAAAAAAAAAUAGCAGGCAACAUGUUGAACAAUGGAUGUAACACCGAUAAAAACAUGGACCAACAAUACGAUUAUACUUCAUAUGGGAAGAAGGACGAACAAGAGACAGAUGAAAGUGAGUAUACCAGUGACUCGUAUUAUUAUGAUAAGAAAAGUGAUAUUGAUAGUAAUACUAUUUCGAAAACAAAAAUGAUGAACAUGAACAUAAAUAACAUGAACACAUCCG
ensembl:lncRNA